rnacentral:misc_RNA from 1 species
GAAAACUUGUGCAGGAUGUUCAGUCUUGGCUCUGAUAUUUAUAGUACUCGUCGCAUUGACAUGCAUUGGGACACAUUUUGUGUAUGGAGGUAAUGGUGCAGAAGAGCCCUACCUGGUGGAGGGGCAUUACUCUCAGUUCACACUUGUAACAAUGACUUACGAUGCCCGGUUGUGGAAUUUGAAGAUGUUCGUGAGACAUUAUUCGAGAUGUUCUUCGGUACGAG